GAUGAACGCUAGCGGCAGGCCUAACACUGCAAGUCGAGGGGUAACAGGUGUAGCAAUAUACGCUGACGACCGGCGCACGGGUGAGUAACGCGUAUGCAAUCUGCCUCUAACUGGGGAAUAGCUUUCGGAAACGGAAAUUAAUGCCCCAUAUUAUCACGAAUUCGCAUGUUUUUGUGAUGAAAGCUCCGGCGGUUAGAGAUGAGCAUGCGUGCCAUUAGUUUGUUGGUGAGGUAACGGCUCACCAAGACCACGAUGGUUAGGGGGUCUGAGAGGAUGAUCCCCCACACUGGUACUGAGACACGGACCAGACUCCUACGGGAGGCAGCAGUGAGGAAUAUUGGGCAAUGGGCGCAAGCCUGACCCAGCCAUGCCGCGUGAAGGAUGAAUGCCCUAUGGGUUGUAAACUUCUUUUGUAUAGGAAGAAACUCCUGAACGUGUUCAGGACUGACGGUACUAUAUGAAUAAGCAUCGGCUAACUCCGUGCCAGCCGCCGCCGUAAUAC
rnacentral:rRNA from 1 species